UUAAUUGCAUUCUAUUUUGGUCUUUUAUCAUGUUGUAUAUUGAACAAAGAGUGUUGUUGUUUUAUAUUUCAUGUGCUAAAAAUCCCCUGGAAGAGAGGAAAUACCAUGAACUGAGCUUGUAUAGGAAAGUCUGGAUCCUCAUGUCCCUCUGUGAUUAUUGCCUGCAUAUGCAGGAGUCCUUAAGACCUUAUAGAGCUACAGCCGUUUGACAAGCGGGAGUUGGUGCUUGGAACGGACGCCUCGGGUCAGCGGUACUUGCACUUCCCACAAUUAUGUGGGGCAGACGUCAGGGUGUACCGCCAGGCCACAAUCAAAUACCCAAAGAUUUGAUCAAGCCUGAUCCAUUUGAUAGUAAAAGAUAGUUUCCAUGUGUGUACAAACUUCCACCAGUGAAGAAAAAGAAAAAAUUGUCACCCAUUAAACAGAAAUCCAGCCCUGUCCCUUCAUCCGUGAAGAUUUCCCAGCUGGAUUCACCGCAUAGAACUAGGCCCAGUAGAUUAAGACAGGCAAGUAACAUUAUUU